rnacentral:sRNA from 12 species
CUCGCUUGGCCCAACCGAAGGCCUGCGUUUAUACGUGGGUUACUGAUGUAGGUGAGGCGGGGCGAG